rnacentral:tRNA from 1 species
GCCACGGUGGUGUAGCCUGGUAGCACGGGAGACUGUGGAUCUCUUAGCCCGAGUUCAAAUCUCGGCUGUGGCCC